rnacentral:rRNA from 1 species
AAACUUUCAACAACGGAUCUCUUGGCUCUGGCAUCGAUGAAGAACGCAGCGAAAUGCGAUAAGUAAUGUGAAUUGCAGAAUUCAAUGAAUCAUCCAAUCUUUGAACGCACAUUGCGCCCGCCAGUAUUCUGG